GUGGGGAAUAUUGCGCAAUGGGCGAAAGCCUGACGCAGCGACGCCGCGUGGGGGAGGAAGGCCCUAGGGUUGUAAACCCCUGUCAGGUGGGACGAACCGUGGAUCGGCAAAUAGCCGGUUCGCCUGACGGUACCACCAGAGGAAGCUCCGGCUAACUCCGUGCCAGCAGCCGCGGUAAUACGGAGGGAGCAAGCGUUGUUCGGAAUCACUGGGCGUAAAGGGCGCGUAGGCGGCCUUAUAAGUCGUGUGUGAAAGACCGGGGCUCAACUCCGUGUAUUGCACGCGAUACUGUUUGGCUGGAGAAAGGUAGAGGCGAGUGGAAUUCCCGGUGUAGCGGUGGAAUGCGUAGAUAUCGGGAAGAACACCGGUGGCGAAGGCGGCUCGCUGGGCCUUUUCUGACGCUGAAGCGCGAAAGCGUGGGGAGCAAACAGGAUUAGAAACCCCAGUAGUCC
rnacentral:rRNA from 1 species